AUUGAACGCUGGCGGCAUGCUUUACACAUGCAAGUCGAACGGUAACGGGCCGCAAGGUGCUGACGAGUGGCGAACGGGUGAGUAAUGCAUCGGAACGUGCCCAGUCGUGGGGGAUAACUGCUCGAAAGAGCAGCUAAUACCGCAUACGAUCUAUGGGUGAAAGCGGGGGACCGUAAGGCCUCGCGCGAUUGGAGCGGCCGAUGUCAGAUUAGGUAGUUGGUGGGGUAAAGGCUCACCAAGCCAACGAUCUGUAGCUGGUCUGCGAGGACGACCAGCCACAAUGGGACUGAGACACGGCCCAGACUCCUACGGGAGGCAGCAGUGGGGAAUUUUGGACAAUGGGGGCAACCCUGAUCCAGCAAUGCCGCGUGCAGGAAGAAGGCCUUCGGGUUGUAAACUGCUUUUGUACGGAACGAAACGGUCUGGGUUAAUACCCUGGGCUAAUGACGGUACCGUAAGAAUAAGCACCGGCUAACUACGUGCCAGCCGCCGCAGUAACAC
rnacentral:rRNA from 1 species